rnacentral:rRNA from 1 species
UACGUAGGGGGCAAGCGUUGUCCGGAUUUAUUGGGCGUAAAGAGCGUGUAGGCGGCUAGGUAGGUCCGUUGUGAAAACUCGAGGCUCAACCUCGAGACGUCGAUGGAAACCAUCUAGCUAGAGUCCGGAAGAGGAGAGUGGAAUUCCCGGUGUAGUGGUGAAAUGCGUAGAUAUCGGGAGGAAGACCAGUGGCGAAGGCGGGUCUCUGGACAGUUCCUGACGCUGAGGCACGAAGGUCAGGGGAGCAAACGGG